UCUUCUCUGGUAGUACUAUCAGAGAAGAUUUCUCUCUGUAGCUACGACGAUACUAUACACACAAACAUAAAAUUUAAAUUAAAGUAGUGUUUAAAAUUAUUAAUUAUUAAGAAUAAUUCUCACUUUUAUUUAACCACACACACUGAAAAUUCAUAAGAAUUCACAGCGCAAAUAUAUCAAAUAUUUAAAAAUAAGGCGCAUAAACUUUUUCGCCCUAAAAAAUGACAUCUCAAUGGCGUAUUAAAGGCAUCUAGACAUUCUAGACAUCCAUCACCUGGUGCAGAUUCACAAAAAAAUUGGUUCAGCAUCGCCUUCGCAAGAGAGAUACUACAAGGUGAUUUCAAGAUUAAAAUGCAUCAUUCGAACAGUGCACUUUCGCUCCCUGUUGAAGGUGUCGGUCGACUUGAAGAAGAACUCUGGUGACAAGAGGCAAACCUGACAGGUACAUUUGAUACAAUGUCCUGGAAAGCUAAAAACUCUUUAAAAUCGACAUAAUACUAAUGUUUUACAAGUUCCAUUGAUAUCCUGGUGAAGAUUGAAGCCGCUCUUGUGAACCCCAUCGACAAGAUCAAAUAUCAUAAUUAAGAAAGCCAGCGUAGCCACGAUGUCUCGGUCAAUAGGUAACACAUAGGACAUGACAAUGGUAAUUUGUCUUGUUUUUAGCUUUGAAUUUUCGCUUUUAUAGAGCUUGUAUUUCUACAGGAUUUUUCGAUGUGGUUAUUCUCUUAUGUUCUUUUCUACUAACACAACGAUGCGCAUAAAGAUUAACUGUAUUUAUGUAUUUUUUGUUCUUUUUAUAUUGUCUAUAUUUUUGUCUUGUGCUUUAUACAGAACACCAUGAGGCAAUGAAAUUCUGUUUCUGGACGUAUGACUCAGGAGGCCAUCUUUUAGAUCCAAAUCCCCAAAAUAGGAGAUCGAAAACUAAAUCAUACUGAGUUAGUAAUAUUAUUGUAGACUUAGAUUUCUUUUUAUAAAUAUCUUGCACUAGUAUUUAAAAUAUAUAUUAAUCCUAUACAAUCAUUAUAUGAUAUAAUCUUUGAUAAUUAAAUUAUAAUAAAUUAUUAU